GAAACGACUGCUAAGACUGGAUAGGAGAUAAGAAGGCAUCUUCUUAUUUUUAAAAGACCUAGCAAUAGGUAUGCUUAGAGAGGAGUUUGCGUCACAUUAGUUAGUUGGUGGGGUAAAAGCCUACCAAGACGAUGAUGUGUAGCCGGGCUGAGAGGUCAAACGGCCACAUUGGGACUGAGACACGGCCCAAACUCCUACGGGAGGCAGCAGUAAGGAAUUUUCGGCAAUGGAGGAAACUCUGACCGAGCAACGCCGCGUGAACGAUGAAGUAUUUCGGUACGUAAAGUUCUUUUAUUAGGGAAGAAAAGAUGGUGGAAAAACCAUUAUGACGGUACCUAAUGAAUAAGCCCCGGCUAACUAUGUGCAAGCAGCCGCGGUAACACAUAGGGGGCAAGCGUUAUCCGGAAUUAUUGGGCGUAAAGGGUGCGUAGGCGGUUAAAUAAGUUUAUGGUCUAAGUGCAAUGCUUAACGUUGUGAUGCUAUAAAAACUGUUUAGCUAGAGUUGGAUAGAGGCAAGUGGAAUUCCAUGUGUAGUGGUAAAAUGCGUAAAUAUAUGGAGGAACACCAGGAGCGAAGGCGGCUUGCUGGGUCUUAACUGACGCUGAGGCACGAAAGCGUGGGGAGCAAACAGGAUUAGAUACCCUGGUAGUCCACGCCCUAAACGAUGAGUACUAAACGUUGGGUAAAACCAGUGUUGAAGUUAACACAUUAAGUACUCCGCCUGAGUAGUACGUACGCAAGUAUGAAACUUAAAGGAAUUGACGGGACUCCGCACAAGCGGUGGAUCAUGUUGUUUAAUUCGAGGUACCCGAAAAACCUCACCAGGUCUUGACAUGCUUUUGCAAAGUUGUAGAAAUACAGUGGAGGUUAUCAAUUGCACAGGUGGUGCAUGGUUGUCGUCAGCUCGUGUCGUGAGAUGUUGGGUUAAGUCCCGCAACGAGCGCAACCCUUGUUGUUAAUUGCCAGCAUGUAAUGAUGGGGACUUUAGCAAGACUGCCAGUGAUAAAUUGGAGGAAGGUGGGGACGACGUCAAAUCAUCAUGCCCCUUAUGACCUGGGCUACAAACGUGAUACAAUGGCUGUUACAAAGGGUAGCUAUAGCGUAAGCUUUUGGCGAAUCUCAAAAAAGCAGUCUCAGUUCGGAUUGAAGUCUGCAACUCGACUUCAUGAAGUUGGAAUCGCUAGUAAUCGCGAAUCAGCAUGUCGCGGUGAAUACGUUCUCGGGGUUUGUACACACCGCCCGUCA
rnacentral:rRNA from 1 species